rnacentral:rRNA from 1 species
AACGAACGCUGGCGGCAGGCCUAACACAUGCAAGUCGAACGCCCCGCAAGGGGAGUGGCGCACGGGUGAGUAACGCGUGGGAAUAUGCCCUUCGGUUCGGAAUAACACAGGGAAACUUGUGCUAAUACCGGAUACGAUCUACGGAUGAAAGAUUUAUCGCCGAGGGAGUAGCCGCGUAGGAUUAGCUAGUUGGUGAGGUAAUGGCUCACCAAGGCGACGAUCCUUAGCUGGUCUGAGAGGAUGAUCAGCCACACUGGGACUGAGACACGGCCCAGACUCCUACGGGAGGCAGCAGUGGGGAAUAUUGGACAAUGGGCGAAAGCCUGAUCCAGCCAUGCCGCGUGAGUGAUGAAGGCCUUAGGGUUGUAAAGCUCUUUCGCCGGGGAAGAUAAUGACGGUACCUGGAAAAGAAGCCUCGGCUAACUCCGUGCCAGCCGCCGCCGUAA